rnacentral:misc_RNA from 1 species
AAGUCGUAACAAGGUUUCCGUAGGUGAACCUGCGGAAGGAUCAUUACAUUCAGUAGCCUAGCUACUUGUUUAUACCCUUGUUUUUUGCGUACCUAUUGUUUCCUCGGUGAGCUUGCUCACCGGCUGGACAAAACUUAUAACCUUUUUUAAUCUUCAAUCAGCGUCUGAAUUAUACAUAAUAAUUACAACUUUCAACAACGGAUCUCUUGGUUCUG